CCUACGAGGGGCAGCAGUGGGGAAUAUUGCACAAUGGUGGAAACCCUGAUGCAGCGACGCCGCGUGAGUGAAGAAUUAUUUCGGUAUUUAAAGCUCUUUCAGCAUGGAAGAAAAUGUCUGUACCUGACUAAGAAGCCCCGGCUAACUACGUGCCAGCCGCCGCGGUAAUCCGUAGGGGGCAAGCGUUAUCCGGAUUUACUGGGUGUAAAGGGAGCGUAGACGGCAGCGUAAGUCUGACGUGAAAUCCUAUGGCUUACCCAUGGAACUGCUUUGGAAACUGUGCAGCUGGAGUGCAGGAGAGGUAAGCGGAAUUCGUAGUGUAGCGGUGAAAUGCGUAGAUAUUAGGAAGAACACCAGUGGCGAAGGCGGCUUACUGGACUGUAACUGACGUUGAGGCUCGAAAGCGUGGGGAGCAAACAGGAUUAGAUACCCUUGUAGUC
rnacentral:rRNA from 1 species